ensembl:lncRNA
CUUUGAGGCAUCUGAUCCAUCAGGUUAAUAAUUGCUGGGCGGAUUCUUAAUUAAUUACAAGUGUUAAGUAACUCCACGCGCCGUGUCAGAGUUCAACGACCCUACGACCGGCGGCCUGUGGUUUAGAAUGAGACGCAGUGGAACGUUUCCUCUGAAAAAGGAGCAGGUGGAAAUCAUUUUAACGUUAAUUUAACUGGCGGCGCGUCACCGAUAACAAACCAGUACAGCGCGGGUUAUGUCCAACUUUGUGCUUUUAUUGACUUAAUUUCCAACAGUUUGUAUUAAUUGCUGAGCCAGUGACCUCGCUGGCUGGAAGAGGACUCCUACAGGAUCAUCUGUCAAUCAGAAACUGCACAUGACGCACAGAGGAAUGAGUAGCUCAAGAGGUAUCUGCUCUGCACCAGAAUGUCUUGGGUCGGCAUACUGGAAUACUUUACGGCUGGUAUUGACUUUAUAUCUCGCUUUUGCUUCGUGCUUUUGCUGUAGUAGUAGCUGGCAAGCGUAGAAAUCCAGUCAGCUUAAAUAAAUGCAUUAGUACUCAACAAAGACGUCAGGACUGCCAUUUACUUUUCAUGCCAAACCCAUGCAGGCUCAUUUCAGUAGAGGUCUGACUUGUAACUGCUUGGCCAUCCUCAAAGUUCAUAUUUUUAUGAAACCAUAAUUCAGGACAGACCAGUCGUGUUCGGUAAAACGUUUAUCUCGG